UGGGGAAUUUUGGACAAUGGGCGCAAGCCUGAUCCAGCAAUGCCGCGUGUGUGAAGAAGGCCUUCGGGUUGUAAAGCACUUUUGUCCGGAAAGAAAACCUUCGGGUUAAUACCCUGGGGGGAUGACGGUACCGGAAGAAUAAGCACCGGCUAACUACGUGCCAGCAGCCGCGGUAAUACGUAGGGUGCAAGCGUUAAUCGGAAUUACUGGGCGUAAAGCGUGCGCAGGCGGUCCGCUAAGACAGAUGUGAAAUCCCCGGGCUUAACCUGGGAACUGCAUUUGUGACUGGCGGGCUAGAGUAUGGCAGAGGGGGGUAGAAUUCCACGUGUAGCAGUGAAAUGCGUAGAGAUGUGGAGGAAUACCGAUGGCGAAGGCAGCCCCCUGGGCCAAUACUGACGCUCAUGCACGAAAGCGUGGGGAGCAAACAGGAUUAGAUACCCGCGUAGUCC
rnacentral:rRNA from 1 species